rnacentral:rRNA from 1 species
GAUGAACGCUGGCGGCGUGCUUAACACAUGCAAGUCGAACGAGUGGCGAACGGGUGAGUAACACGUGGGUGAUCUGCCUUGUACUUCGGGAUAAGCCUGGGAAACUGGGUCUAAUACCGGAUAGUACGAGAUGCGCCCGCGGCCUGUCAUCGUGUUGGUGGGGUAAUGGCUACCAAGGCGCGACGGGUAGCCGGCCUGAGAGGGUGUACGGCACCGUUGGGACUGAGACAGGGCCCAGAAGCGGAGGGGAGGGGGCAGUGGGGAAUAUUGCACAAUAGGCGGAGGCCGGAUGCAGCGAAGCCGCGUGGGGGAUGACGGCCUUCGGGUUGUAAACCUCUUUCGCUAGGGAAGCGGUACCUGGAUAAGAAGCACCGGCUAACUACGUGCCAGCAGCCGCGGUAAUUC